UUAUUAGGACUAAAAUUGGAGGUUGUACAUUUUGAAUCACUAAAGUUGUUGUAAAGUUUGGAUUAGAAGUUGGCAUUGAUGGUAAACAAAUAGUAGAAAAUGUAUUUGUUUGUUGUUUGGGGAACAACAAAGUUAAUUUUCAACUAGUGUUGGUAAUUAAAUUGAAAGUCUGUAUUAGGAAUGUCAACUGUAGUUUAAAAAAAGAAAAAUCAAACUCAGUUAACCAAAACAACCACUAGAUGGAGACAAAGGCGCCCAAGACUCUAUUUACUAAAGCAGCCCAGGAGAAAACCUAGUGCUAAAGCUCAAUUGCUUAAAACAGCCACAAGAUGGGGCUCUCGCAUCAGCUGGCCCAGAGUAGGGGUCGGCGCCCUCUACAGCCACCACUAGGGGCGGUGUGGCUCAAUUUCAACCUCUAAUGCAACGAAGAAGUGAACUUUUGUCGAUGCAUUCCUACACGUUAGCUUUGCUGCUAAUGCUUAGCUUAAGGCGUACUCACAGUUCUCACACACAACUUAUAAACAUGACCACAUUGCUUGAAUACACAGAUAGAUAGAAGUAUUGAACAUCAAUAUAGCAGAUUGGAUAGCGGGGUAGAUAGGAUUAAUUGAUAAAGGGGAAGGGUUUAUCGGUAUUGUG